UGAACGGUUCACUAGGUUAAACUAAAUCAGCUUCCGCUUGUUUCUAGCAAUCCUAGCAUAAUCUAAACUAAUUAAACAGAGAACCAAACUUCCGCUUGCGCCCUACUAUCUAUAGACAAGGUCCUAAUUAGCUACUCUAGAACACAAGCAUUAAGAGCAGUCUAGUUGAUUCAUAUUCCUGACACUUAGCAAUUCUAUAUUUUGGGCUAAUCCCUCAUGAAUAUCUGAACCCUAAAUCUGACAAGAUGAACUACUCAGACAUGAAUUUGUCACAUAAAUCAUAAACUGAAUAGAUGAAACAGAAAUUUAUAUAUAUAAACCAAAGGAGUUCCGGGAAGACUCUGAAGGAGUUCCUCCCUUCUCUCCUAACCUAAGAGAAACAAUAGAAUAAAGUUUUUCCGUCAACAAUGGCUUAGAAAAUACAUAAAUAGGGUUUUAGGUAGUCCAUGGGUAUUCUGGUAAUUUAUCGUUGCUUAUGGGCUUAAGUUUGUCUUGAAAUAUACUCGGCCCGUGUUCUGGAAUCACCGUCGAUCGACACCAAGGGUGCACCGUCGAUCGAUGUUCCUUCAUCUUCUCGAUAGCUCUCUCUCUCUCGCUAGACAGACUGACCACUCUUCAGUAAAAUGGGCAUAACUUCUGAUCUAACUGUUGGAUUGACCUCAAGCCGGUGGCAUUGGAAAGCUAACUCAAAGUUCUAUCCAUCUUGGAAAUGUCUCCAUCCAUAUCUAAACAUCUGAUACGUAUGUGCAGUUCUGCACUCAAACGGCUCCAAAAAC
rnacentral:lncRNA from 1 species